UGAGAAACCGUCCCUCUCAAGCAUGACUGGAACUGUAGUGGCUUCCGGGGAGAAUGUGAAGUUACAAUGUUUCUCAACACUCAAGUUUGAAGCAUUUAUUCUUAGCAAAGAAGAUGGAGAUCGCAUCAUCCAGAACCAAUUCAUCAGACACCAGGGUGGUAAUCACGAGGCUGUCUUCCUUUUGAAUCAAGUCUCCUCCACACAAACUGGGACCUACAGAUGCUACGGACUCUUUGAACGUGACCCCUAUGUGUGGUCUCACCCCAGUGACCCAUUGCAUCUUCAGGUCAGAGAAACUCCUGACCAUCGAGACCCUAUGAAUCCCCAACAUUCAACUGAUGUCAUUCAUCAUUGAUCCACAUUUCCAAUAUUCCUGAGAGUGUCUAGGAUGCUACGGUGUCUUCAGCAAUGCCCUCUAUGUGUGGUCUCACCCCAGUGACCGGUUGCAGCUUCCGGACAGAGGUGAGGAACCCUCAGCCCAUCCAUUCUCAUGUCCCCUCCUGGAGACUGGCAGUGUCCAGCUAAAGC